rnacentral:lncRNA from 10 species
CCCAGCAAGGCUCUCUGGGCCACUGAUGAUGUGUCCUCUUCUUCCAAACCUUCCAUCUCUUCUCUGCACUUGGGGGAACUCAGGAUUCUCUAAGGACUGUGCUCCUUCCUGCAGAUGUGUGCCCACAUGUUGCCUCUGUUGUCUCCCAGGCUCUUCCUCAGCCCCCAUAGACUAGCGAAAUCCUCAGGAGUCAGCUCAGACUUGCCCUUCCCUGGAAGCCUGCCAGAGAGCUCCCAAUAUGUUUAGUUUCUGUCCUCACCACCCAGUGCCUGCCUCUGGGACAGCACUUAGCCCACAGGAUGACAGUGGCUGGCUUUCAUGUCUCUUCCCUGACAGACCCUCAAUCUUCAAGCUGAUCCGGGACAAUGGACUGAAUGCCAUCAUGAGCCUCAAUGGACUUACCUGUAAGAAGGGUCACGUGAGAUUCCAACGCUAAUGAGCGUGAAAGGUUUUUGCAAACAGGAACUGCAGCACAAAGGAGAGGCAUGAAUCCUUGAGCGAUUAAGACAGUGGGAGUGACGGGGCAGAGUCACCACGGAGACACACCACUGUGAAAUGAAUGGCGGGACUGCACUGAACGGCAGAAUGUUUGAGGGCUUGGUCAUACAGCUGGAGGGAAGAGUGAGACCAGGAAGAGCUGAAACGCGGCCUCUCCAUCCCUGUUACAGCAGCACCUUUCUCACUGGGCUGCAGGCACCCUGACCGCAAAGGUGUUCUCACAACCCCGCAGGGUCUUGCUCCUCCCUGUGCCGCCAAGCUUGCCACUCCAUCUGCCUGGCACGCUCAUCCCCGCCAUCCCCAUCACUGGCUUCCCAUUGUCCCCUGGGUCUUGUCCUUGAGGAAGCCUCACAAGUCAUCCUGUCUAAGUAGCACUGUUGGUCUUCUCCAUAGAACCUUCUCUUCCUUUCCUGGCAUCUAUAUCAUCCUGGAACCAUUUUAUCUGCGUGUUCACCUGUCCAACCACACUGCGAUGGUUUUAAAAUAUGUUCUUAAUUCUUAGACACUCCUUCCUUCCAAAGGCAGAGUGUCAUUCCUCUCCUUUUGAGUGUGGGCUGGACUUAGUGAUCCCGUUCUGCAGAUGAGAACAUGGCAGAAGAGGUGCUGUUAGGACUUCUGGGCUGGGUCACGAAAGGACAGCUGCUGGCUGGCCUGCUGUCUUUUGGACUGCUCUCCCCAGGGGCAGCCAGAUGCUACAUCGUGAUGACACUCAAGCAGUCCUACCCAGAGGCCCAUGUCAGAAGGAACGAAUGCCUCUCACCCACAGGCAGCACCAACUCGCCAGCCACGGCUACGAGCUGCUUUAGAAGUUGACUCAGCCCAGUCGAGCCUUCAGAUAACUGCAGACCCAGCCAACAUCAGAUGGAACCUACAAGAGAAUAAGUCCUGGUCCCGACCUGCCCAGCCAAGCUGGUCCUGAAUUCCUGACCCACAGAAGCUGCAAGAAUAAUGUCUCCUGCUACUUUAAGCCACUAUGUUUUGGCAUAUUAGGUAGCAAUGGAGGAUUAAUAUAAAUGUUGAAAUGCUAUGAUUCCUCAUUUCAUGGACAAGGAAACUGAGCCACAGAGAAUUUACACGGCUCACCUAAGGCCACACAGAGUCAGAAUUUGGACAGAGGCAGUCUGAUUCCAGAGUCCACACCCCUGAGCCCUGUACUACAACCUCCCUCCAAACAAGGCACCAUCUCAAACAGUGUCAUUUUUCCUGUGAAGCCCCGAUUAGGUGGUGGGCAGGCACAGGAUCUUUCCCUCCCCAGACAGAUGUAAGUCCAACAGCGUGAGGCUUCUGACAGCUUGGUGCUCCACACAGGGCAGGGGUGCAGAGUCCUGCCUGACCACCAGCCAUCCAGCUGUCACGAGCCAGUACCCUUGCUCCUGGGUCUGACUGGAACUUCAGGCGAGUGUCUCAUGCUUAAGAACCUGCCUUUUUCCUUUUAUCCCUAUGUUUUGGGAUGCAAGAAAAUGCCUCUCAGAUGUGGUGUGGUCUCCUGGCACCUCACCUAGGAUGGGAGGCCUGGGAUAGAGAAAGGCUCAGGUUCCUCCUGUCUCACCUGGGCUGGGAAUGAAGGACUGUUCUCCCUUCUCUUCAACAUACAUUCUGGAGGCGGGGUGGGGAACUGUCUUAGGCCUGGGUCAAGAGGGGAGGGCCAGACGGUCUUGGGCUGAGUGUGCUGAGCUCAGAGAGGCACAUGUGGAUGAGACAAAGCCAGGCAGGUCAGGGAAGAGCCAGAAGAAAGAUGCACUUUGUGGGUCCUAGGCAUCUGGGUUCCAGGCUAGGGAAACUGGGCAGGGAAGCCUUGCCAGGGGACGCCCCUUAGAGUAAGGGCCAAUGGUGGUGUUGCGUGUGUGUGUGCUAUGUGCUGUAUGUGGUGUACGUGUGGUAUGUGUGGUGUGUGUGCUGUAUGUGUGUUGUGUGUGCAUGUGUGUGCGAUGUGUGUGUAUGUAUUGUGUGUGUGUGUGCAUGUCUGUGUGUGUGGUGUGUGCCAUAUGUGGUAUAUGUGUGUUGUGUGUGGUAGUGUAAUGUGUGUAGAGUGGUGUCUGUGUAUGUGCUGUGUGUCUUGUGUGUAUUAGUGUGUGUAUAUUUGUGUGUUGUAUGUAGUGUGUGUGUAUAUUUGUGUGUGUUGUAUGUAGUGUGUGUGUAUAUUUGUGUAUGUGGUGUGUGUGUUGUGUUGUGUGUGUAUAUUUGUGUGUGUUGUGUGUAUGUAGUUUGUGUGUAUAUUUGCGUGUGUGUUGUGUGUAUGUAGUGCAUGUGUAUAUUUGUGUGUGUGGUGUGUGUCGUGUGUGUGGUAUGUGUGUAUGUGUUGUGUGUAUGUAGUGUGUGUGUAUAUUUGUGUGUGUUGUGUGUAUGUAGUAUUUGUGUAUGUGUUGUGUGUUGUGUUGUGUGUGUAUAUUUGUGUGUUGUAUGUAGUUUGUGUGUAUAUUUGCGUGUGUGUUGUAUGUAGUGCAUGUGUAUAUUUGUGUGUGUGGUGUGUGUCGUGUGUGUGGUAUGUGUGUAUGUGUUGUGUGUAUGUAGUGUGUGUGUGGUAUGUGUGCAUAUGUUGUGUAUAGUGUUGUGUGUCGUGUGGUGUCUCUGUGCGUGUCUGUGUGCGGUGCAUGUUCAUGCACUCACUUUUGCACCUGCAACCCAUGCUCACUGUGCUACACUUUCCACACCUUUUGCCCCAGACCCUGAUAAGGUCCAGGGAGGAGGGUGGUGAGGAAUGCCUGCAACGAUUUAAUUAGGAAUAAAGAGGAGUUGCUGAUCUGGUUUAGGGCGGGCCAGGAGUCUUUUAGCUCCAGAAGGACAGGGGUGUCUGUCAGCUGUUUGCUGCUCAUAAAUUCCCCAGUGUGUGUGCAGGAUUGCACCUAUCCUCUGAGCUACCUGAUGCUGGGGUCUUGACCAGAUAAGAACACCAAAUAUCCUCUUCCUUUCUCAUUAGUAGACAGGCCAGGCCCAUCUGAACCCACUCCUCUGGCUCCCUGAGGAGUGUUUGGGUGUCCCCGCACUUAGCAUCCAGCACAGAUGGCUCCUUCCAAAGCCACACUCCAGUGGCUUCUUUGGGGUGGAUGUAGACGCUCAGCCCAUGGAGAGCAGCUCAUCUAAGUUACAGCCCUUUAGAGUAAGGGAUGUGGAUGAACAGGUGAGAGGCUUCCUGCUCGUCAUUAGAAAUUUUUAAAAACCACGUGGUCCACAGGUCUUGAGGCCAAGGCUGAUGGGCUGGCUGGGCAGGAGCCACAGGAAGAAAUCCACAGGUGCUGGCCAUGUGGAACUGCCUGCCAAGUUUGCUGGAAGCAGAGCCCGUUUCUUUUUUCGGCAGCCUGAAUAAGAGGCAAUGGGGACCCUGUUGAGGUCAACUCUUGUAUGUUACCAACGCCCACAGCUGUGUGCCUCCUCUGAGGACAUUCGAGUGGGCUCACCACGAUGACAUGGGCCUUCUGCUGGGGAGGCUGGGCCAUUCGGUGACCUGUGGCGCUGCGCUGUGUGAUGAUUGCUGAUCAGCUGUGGCUCCCAGGCCAGCUUACACAUGACGAUCCCCUGGGGAGGUUUUAAAGAUUCCAGUGCCUGAGCCCCACUCCAAGCCAAUGAAAUCCCAGCCUCUGGAAGUAGGGCCUGGCAUGGGCCUGUCUGCAACACGCCCCAGCUGUUCCUAAUGGGCAGCCCGGGGGUAAGAAUCAGCGACUGAGAAUAACGAUGUUCCAAUCUUGAUUCAGCCGGGGAAAUCUUUCUUCACACAGAUGCUACUGGAGUGAACACAAGCAGAUGAAAACAGGGCUGUCUAAAUGACACGCAGCCACCAGUGACUGCCCGGGCUCCCGAGAAAUCCAGAUUCAUCAGGACCCACUGAUUUGGGCAUCUGAUGAUGGCAUGUGAGGAGGAAUUUUCCAAAGUUUCUGGGAGAGUACAAGGCAAGUCACCACCCGCUCCCAGCUGUGUGCCUUUCCUGGGGCCAGACCCUGCAGCAGCUCCCACCUUGUCCCACGCUGGAUGGCAGCCUGCUUGUAGGGGGGGCCUGCAGACACCUUCUCACCCCACCCAGGACUUGAAGGCAAGGGUGGAAUUUUUGGUGGAUGCGAUGAUCUGUCUUCUCGUGGUGAGUCAUAGAUGAAAUACCACCUAUGGAAACUGACAGUCGCUGCUAUGCCUUUCUUGGACUAUGCUCCAUACUGUGGGUAACAGCUUCAGCAAAGAAUUUGACCUCAAGCAAGAUGAACUCCAAAUAACGCAUAAAGUAACAUCAACAUGAUGCAGUGUGUGUGAAACAGAUCUCGGUCCCGUAAGAGCAAAAGAGAAGGACAAAUCAGAUCAUCACACGGGAUGUCUUUUUUGUGCGAUUUUGCAUUUUCCCAUUCAAAACAAAAAAUAAAUAAUAAAUUUGAAGCUACUCACUCAUGGAUUCUGUCAGCUUGGCCAUUGUUGCAGUUUCUUCUUUGUGCUUUUCCUGGAGGUGAGAAGAAAAGAC